rnacentral:misc_RNA from 1 species
UUUCCGUAGGUGAACCUGCGGAAGGAUCAUUAUCGAGUUCUGAAAGGGGUUGUAGCUGGCCUUCCGAGGCAUGUGCACACCCUGCUCAUCCACUCUAACACCUGUGCACCUUUUGUGGGCUUCGGCCUGCGUCUCACACACACUUAAAAGUAUCAGAAUGUACAACCGCAUUGUAUGAUGCAUUAUUAAUACAACUUUCAACAACGGAUCUCUUGGCUCUCGCAUCGAUGAAGAACGCAGC